AUUGAACGCUGGCGGCAUGCCUAACACAUGCAAGUCGAACGGCAGCACGGCAGUAGCAAUACUGUGGGUGGCGAGUGGCGGACGGGUGAGGAAUACGUCGGAAUCUGCCCAGUCGUGGGGGGUAACUAGCCGAAAGGUUAGCUAAUACCGCAUACGACCGAGAGGUGAAAGCGGGGGACCGCAAGGCCUCGCGCGAUUGGAUGAGCCGACGUCGGAUUAGCUAGUUGGUGGGGUAAAGGCCCACCAAGGCGACGAUCCGUAGCUGGUCUGAGAGGAUGAUCAGCCACACUGGAACUGAGACACGGUCCAGACUCCUACGGGAGGCAGCAGUGGGGAAUAUUGGACAAUGGGCGCAAGCCUGAUCCAGCAAUGCCGCGUGUGUGAAGAAGGCCUCGGUUGUAAGACACUUUAUCUAGG
rnacentral:rRNA from 1 species